AGCUACCAAGGCGAUGAUGCAUAGCCGAGUUGAGAGACUGAUCGGCCACAUUGGGACUGAGACACGGCCCAAACUCCUACGGGAGGCAGCAGUAGGGAAUCUUCCACAAUGGACGCAAGUCUGAUGGAGCAACGCCGCGUGAGUGAAGAAGGUUUUCGGAUCGUAAAGCUCUGUUGUUGGUGAAGAAGGAUAGAGGUAGUAACUGGCCUUUAUUUGACGGUAAUCAACCAGAAAGUCACGGCUAACUACGUGCCAGCAGCCGCGUAAAU
rnacentral:rRNA from 1 species